rnacentral:rRNA from 1 species
GACGGGGGCUGAAAGCGUUAUCCGGAAUCACUGGGCGUAAAGCGUCUGUAGGUGGUGAUGCAAGUCACUGGUGCAAAACUCUGGCUCAACCGGAGGAAAGCCAGUGAAACUGCAUGACUAGAGUGUGGGAGAGGUAGAAGGAAUUCCCUGAGUCGCGGUGAAAUGCGUAGAUACAGGGAAGAACACCGGAGGCGAAAGCGUUCUACUGGAACACAACUGACACUGAGAGACGAAAGCUAGGGGAGCGAAUGGG